rnacentral:rRNA from 1 species
GGCGGGGAGGGGAGGGAAGGUAUUAGGGAGGUAAAUUGGGGGAGGCAAACGAAGCGAGACGGACGGAGUAGGAGCACGAAUUCGAAGAGCGGUAGUCGACCCUCUCUAUAGAGCUCGUCUCGUUGUCCUCCUUGGUGUCGAAGUCGGAAGUCCGGCGUGUGUAUGUGCGCCGCGCAGCCUCCUGGUCGGCCGUUCUACGUCUACCAUGACUAUUAGAGCGACGGGGAGCACCGCGACCACCACUAGUAGCGGUAGUAGGAGACGUAGCAGACGGCAAUUGGUCGGUCGGUCGAGCGGAGCGGCCUACAACGCAGUACAUCGGAGCAUCAUCACGACAACGACGCAGACAGAGUAUGACAGCAGCACAUAAAACAGACGUCGGGACGAGCCACACAGUAGAAAUAGGGGAAAAGAGGAUGGUCGAAGAGUUGUACUUUACAUCAUGAUAACUAACUAUGUACACACACAGACAAGCACACACACGCCCACAGUCAUGUCACGUAUGACGGCACAUUACAUUCGAGAACUGAAACAGCGUUUUUUUUCCUUCGAGGACUUCUUAAGAAGUCUAU